AACGUUUAAGAGGGGGGUCUUUGGAAACCUGGGGAGGCCUGAGACCAUGAUGUCUGUGUGAUUUGGACACGCCCACGACCUGGUGUUCUCUGGAGCAGCCAAUGGAGACUUGAAGACCAUCAAAGCCCACGAUGGAUCUGUGUUCACCAUGUUCUCUUUAGAGAAGGAAAAUGGGGCGGUCCUGGAAAUAGACAAGAGUGGACCAAUUACCCUGCUGGUUCAGAUUGUUCGAGAAGACACCCAGCAGUUUCUACGGAUAGAUCUCCAGUGGUUGAGAGAUCCCAUUGCUAAAAAGGCCCAGAUGAUGCAAGAACAUUUUAUCCUUUUUUGGUGCUCUUUUCUCUAUUUGAGUAAAAUAAAUCUUCCCCUGCAGGGUUUGUCCGUUACCUGUUUUUUCUCUCAUCAGUUGGUGUCCUAGCACCCUCUAAUGUCACUUAACUAUAACAUAAUAUACAAUGAAUGUAGUUAUAUUAAUAUAUUAUGACCUUCUUAAAAUUAGGAAAAGAAAAAUCACUAGUCUUCACGUAUAGUAAUCUAGCUAAGCCACCUAUUUCACCUUAAAUGGUACAGCAGCUAUUACUCUAGCUGUUGUAUGAUUUAAGGUGGAACGGAAAAUUUUACAAGAAGCUAAGUUAAUACAGCUAAGUAAACUGUAGCUCCUUAUCUAAUCAAGAAAUUACAAGUGGGUUAUAAAGAACUGCCACAUUUUGAAGACACACCUUCCCAAUAUAUUUUUCCUGCAUAGUUAAAGUGAUCCAGAACAUUAAGAAACACAUAAGGAAUCAUGUAGUAACUUAUAAGUGUUAAACAAACCAAAAUACUCUGAAGCAUUUAGGGUCUUAUCUGGAGAGCUGUUUGUUUCUGAAGCUGGUAAUUCUGACCUGAUGAGAGCCAGUUUAAUCAUAACGUUUUGAUGGCGACAAUUUUUUUUAGACCGAAGUAUCUUCAAGUGUAAAGUAUUUUUUACAUUACUCAAAUAUUCACUAUUCACUGUAUACCUGUAACUCUACCUCUUCACUACUUUACUUUAACUGAUGCUCUCAAACACUUUAUUAAGAGACAAGAAGUUCAAGUAAUUACAUUACAUUACAUUACAUUACAUUUGGCAGAUGCUUUUGUCCAAAGCGACUUACAAUAGUCAAGUACAAUGUAAAAUAAGUUUAAAGGUAAAACAUCUUUGGAUAGGGAUAAAAGGAGGUCAAAGGGGAAUAAUAGGAUAGAGGAGUGAAGGAGGGGAAGAAGGAAAUGAGGUUAGAAGUAGUUAGUGUGUUAGAGGUGUUAGGAGAGUAAGUGCUCUUUGAAGAGCUCUGUCUUCAGGAGUUUAUUAAAGAUAGUGAGAGAUUCUCCUGAUCUGGUAGUAGAAGGUAGUUAGUUAGAGGUGUUAGGAGAGUAAGUGCUCUUUGAAGAGCUCUGUCUUCAGGAGUUUAUUAAAGAUAGUGAGAGAUUCUCCUGAUCUGGUAGUGGAAGGUAGUUUGUUCCACCAUUGGGGAACUCUGUAUGAACUCUUGAUGAGUUCAGCACAGCUGUUAACUGAAAGCCUGAAUUCCAGGAGACUCUACCUCGUAAAGCUGACUGAGAAAAUCCAGCAGAGAUCUAAGAAAGAGGAGCUACUUUGAAUAAUUAAACAUAUAAAACAUAUUCUGGUUUGUUUAACACUUUGUUUUUUUGUCUACUAAAUAAUUCCACAUGUUGUUUUUCAUAGUUUGAAUGAGUUUAGUAUUCAUCUACAACGCAGAACAUUUUAAAAUAAUGAAAAACCCUGCUAAAUUGAAGGGGGAGGAAUUUGUCUAGGUGUUAAAAAAAACAGAUAAUUUCUUACUAAUUCCACAUGUUGUUUUUCAUAGUUUGAAUGAGUUUAGUAUUCAUCUACAACGCAGAACAUUUUAAAAUAAUGAAAAACCCUGCUAAAUUGAAGGGGGAGGAAUUUGUCUAGGUGUUAAAAAAAACAGAUAAUUUCUUACCUUUGUUCCAGAGGCACGAAUUUUCUCAACGUAGUCCCAGACUAUCUGCGGAGAGAUCCUUCCACCAACCUGGAUGCUGUCCGGCAGGUCCUGUAACAGUCAUAAACAGAUAAAUUAGUGUCCUUUUUUUUUUUUUUUUUUU